GCUGGGCAUGGUGUUGGGCGCCUGUAAUCCUAGCUACUUGGGAGGCUGAGGCAGGAGAAUCACUUGAACCUGGGAGGCAGAGGUUGCAGUGAGUGGAGAUUGUGCCACUGAACUCCUGCCUGGGUGACAGAGUGAGACUCUGUCUCAA
rnacentral:SRP_RNA from 1 species